AAAUAAUUAUUUCGUAGCGAAUUAAUAAUUUUCUCUGCAAGUUGUCUGUUGAAAAUGGCUCUAAUCGCUUCCUGAAUCACAGAGGACCGCUCCAGCAGCACGCUGAAUAAGCUGGAGAAAACAUUUGGAGCCAUCUAAAAAGGUAAUUACUUGUCAUGUUUACAUUGUCAUGGCUUGGUAAAACAAUUGCAUUUUCUUUCCUUCUUGUGUGCAGCAGCAGUUUGAAAAUUUAU